rnacentral:rRNA from 2 species
CACUAUCGUUAACUGAAUACAUAGGUUAACGAGGCGAACCGGGGGAACUGAAACAUCUAAGUACCCCGAGGAAAAGAAAUCAACCGAGAUUCCCCCAGUAGCGGCGAGCGAACGGGGAGCAGCCCAGAGUCUGAAUCAGCUUGUGUGUUAGUGGAACGGUCUGGAAAGUCCGACGGUACAGGGUGAUAGUCCCGUACACCAAAAUGCACAGGCUGUGAACUCGAAGAGUAGGGCGGGACACGUGGUAUCCUGUCUGAAUAUGGGGGGACCAUCCUCCAAGGCUAAAUACUCCUGACUGACCGAUAGUGAACCAGUACCGUGAGGGAAAGGCGAAAAGAACCCCGGCGAGGGGAGUGAAAAAGAACCUGAAACCGUGUACGUACAAGCAGUGGGAGCACCUUCGGGUGUGACUGCGUACCUUUUGUAUAAUGGGUCAGCGACUUAUAUUCUGUAGCAAGGUUAACCGUAUAGGGGAGCCGCAGGGAAACCGAGUCUUAACUGGGCGUUAAGUUGCAGGGUAUAGACCCGAAACCCGGUGAUCUAGCCAUGGGCAGGUUGAAGGUUGGGUAACACUAACUGGAGGACCGAACCGACUAAUGUUGAAAAAUUAGCGGAUGACUUGUGGCUGGGGGUGAAAGGCCAAUCAAACCGGGAGAUAGCUGGUUCUCCCCGAAAGCUAUUUAGGUAGCGCCUCGUGAAUUCAUCUUCGGGGGUAGAGCACUGUUUCGGCUAGGGGGUCAUCCCGACUUACCAACCCGAUGCAAACUACGAAUACCGAAGAAUGUUAUCACGGGAGACACACGGCGGGUGCUAACGUCCGUCGUGAAGAGGGAAACAACCCAGACCGCCAGCUAAGGUCCCAAAGUCAUGGUUAAGUGGGAAACGAUGUGGGAAGGCACAGACAGCCAGGAUGUUGGCUUAGAAGCAGCCAUCAUUUAAAGAAAGCGUAAUAGCUCACUGGUCGAGUCGGCCUGCGCGGAAGAUGUAACGGGGCUAAACCAUGCACCGAAGCUGCGGCAGCGACACUAUGUGUUGUUGGGUAGGGGAGCGUUCUGUAAGCCUGCGAAGGUGACCUGUGAGGGUUGCUGGAGGUAUCAGAAGUGCGAAUGCUGACAUAAGUAACGAUAAAGCGGGUGAAAAGCCCGCUCGCCGGAAGACCAAGGGUUCCUGUCCAACGUUAAUCGGGGCAGGGUGAGUCGACCCCUAAGGCGAGGCCGAAAGGCGUAGUCGAUGGGAAACAGGUUAAUAUUCCUGUACUUGGUGUUACUGCGAAGGGGGGACGGAGAAGGCUAUGUUAGCCGGGCGACGGUUGUCCCGGUUUAAGCAUGUAGGCUG